rnacentral:tRNA from 1 species
GGCUCGAUGGCGAAGUUGGUUAUCGCAUCUGUCUCACCUACAGAAAGUUCCCAUUUCGAACCUGGAUCGUCUCA